AGUGAACGCUGGCGGUCGGCCUAACACAUGCAAGUCGAACGGCAGCACAGUAAGAGCUUGCUCUUACGGGUGGCGAGUGGCGUACGGGUGAGGCAUACAUCGGAAUCUACUUUUUCGUGGGGGAUAACGUAGGGAAACUUACGCUAAUACCGCAUACGACCUACGGGUGAAAGCAGGGGAUCUUCGGACCUUGCGCGAUUGAAUGAGCCGAUGUCGGAUUAGCUAGUUGGCGGGGUAAAGGCCCACCAAGGCGACGAUCCGUAGCUGGUCUGAGAGGAUGAUCAGCCACACUGGAACUGAGACACGGUCCAGACUCCUACGGGAGGCAGCAGUGGGGAAUAUUGGACAAUGGGCGCAAGCCUGAUCCAGCCAUACCGCGUGGGUGAAGAAGGCCUUCGGGUUGUAAAGCCCUUUUGUUUGGAAAGAAAAGCAGAAGGUGAAUACCCCGCUGUUAUGACGGUACCCAAAGAAUAAGCACCGGCUAACUUCGUG
rnacentral:rRNA from 1 species